rnacentral:rRNA from 1 species
CAGUAGCCACGGGAACACGAAGGGUGCAAGCGUUACUCGGAAUUACUGGGCGUAAAGCGUGCGUAGGUGGUGGUUUAAGUCCGUUGUGAAAGCCCUGGGCUCAACCUGGGAAUUGCAGUGGAUACUGGGUCACUAGAGUGUGGUAGAGGAUAGUGGAAUUUCCGGUGUAGCAGUGAAAUGCGUAGAGAUCGGAAGGAACAUCUGUGGCGAAGGCGACUAUCUGGGCCAACACUGACACUGAGGCACGAAAGCGUGGGGAGCAAACAGGAUUAGAGACCCGCGUAGUCCCUGUCUCUUAUAA